rnacentral:tRNA from 1 species
GGGGAUGUGGCUCAAUCGGUAGAGCGCAUGCCUAGCAUGUGUGAGGCCCAGGUUCGAUCCUCAGCACCA